rnacentral:lncRNA from 1 species
GGGCAGGAAGGGAAAAGCUAAAACCGACCUUGUAGGAGUAUAUAAGGAGUCCUAGGCGAGAGGCACAAAGAAAAACUUUUUCAGAGCAAACUUAGCACUUAGAGCAAUUUUAGACAACUUUCCGUUUUUUUUAUUCGAGCUGCAACUCAAUUAGGUCUUGCAGUCUUAGGGUUUUAAAACUAGGAAUCGUGCCGAUAGCUCUCGUAGCCCAUGCUCUUACCUUGUUG